rnacentral:rRNA from 1 species
GACGAACGCUGGCGGCGUGCUUAACACAUGCAAGUCGAACGCUGAAGCUCAGCUUUUGUUGGGUGGAUGAGUGGCGAACGGGUGAGUAACACGUGAGUAACCUGCCCUCUUCUUUGGGAUAACGCCCGGAAACGGGUGCUAAUACUGGAUAUUCACUGAUCUUCGCAUGGGGGUUGGUGGAAAGGUUUGUUCUGGUGGGGGAUGGGCUCGCGGCCUAUCAGCUUGUUGGUGGGGUGAUGGCCUACCAAGGCUUUGACGGGUAGCCGGCCUGAGAGGGUGACCGGUCACAUUGGGACUGAGAUACGGCCCAGACUCCUACGGGAGGCAGCAGUGGGGAAUAUUGCACAAUGGGCGAAAGCCUGAUGCAGCGACGCCGCGUGAGGGAUGGAGGCCUUCGGGUUGUAAACCUCUUUCGCUCAUGGUCAAGCCGCGACGCGGGUUGUGGUGAGGGUAGUGGGUAAAGAAGCGCCGGCUAACUACGUG